UACGUAGGGUGCGAGCGUUAAUCGGAAUUACUGGGCGUAAAGCGUGCGCAGGCGGUUAUGUAAGACCGAUGUGAAAUCCCCGGGCUUAACCUGGGAACUGCAUUGGUGACUGCAUCGCUCGAGUAUGGCAGAGGGGGGUAGAAUUCCACGUGUAGCAGUGAAAUGCGUAGAGAUGUGGAGGAAUACCGAUGGCGAAGGCAGCCCCCUGGGUCAAUACUGACGCUCAUGCACGAAAGCGUGGGGAGCAAACAGG
rnacentral:rRNA from 1 species